AACGAACGCUGGCGGCAUGCCUAACACAUGCCAGUCGAACGAGACCUUCGGGUCUAGUGGCGCACGGGUGCGUAACGCGUGGGAACCUGCCCUUAGGUUCGGAAUAACUCCCCGAAAGGGGUGCUAAUACCGGAUAAUGUCUUCGGACCAAAGAUUUAUCGCCUUUGGAUGGGCCUGCGUUGGAUUAGCUUGUUGGUAGGGUAAAAGCCUACCAAGGCGACGAUCCAUAGCUGGUCUGAGAGGAUGAUCAGCCACACUGGGACUGAGACACGGCCCAGACUCCUACGGGAGGCAGAAGGGGGGAAUAUUGGACAAUGGGCGAAAGCCUGAUCCAGCAAUGCCGCGUGAGUGAUGAAGGCGUUAGGGUUGUAAAGCUCUUUUACCCGGGAUGAUAAUGACAGUACCGGGAGAAUAAGCUCCGGCUAACUCCGUG
rnacentral:rRNA from 1 species